rnacentral:lncRNA from 1 species
CUUUACUACUGGUAUUAUUGUUAUGACAUGAAUAGGAAACCAUUAACUUCCUUGUAAAGGAAAAUGUCUGACGACGUUGAAAUGGGAUGUAUUACGUUCUAUUUUGUACAACUCUCUAUUCUAAUGUUGUCAUUUUCAGACAUAUCAAACCGUAAGGAUUUGCUUUGAGUUUGUCAGUUAUGAAUUGACAAUAAAACGUAAGACAUAAAUAUGUGUAUCUUCCGUGAUGACAAAAUCUACAACCAACUAACCACA